GUGAAACCACCUCUUCCUCUCUGUCUGUCACGCUAUUGAUAGGGCUGUUACUGUCCGGAGGGCACUUCUACUCCGGAACCUUGUCCUGAAGGAACCUACAGCUCCCGUUCAGCUCUCAGUGACGGGUCUGAGUGCUCCCCUUGUGGCGGAGGACAGUAUUGCACCAGUGUGGGACUCUCAGAGCCCUCGGGAAGCUGCAAAGAGCGCUUCUACUGUAGAGAGGGAGCCACGUCUGCAACUCCUGCGGAUGGGCCUACAGGAGGUUUGUGUCCAGCAGGAAGUUACUGUCCUCUAGCUUCGUCCUCUCCCCGACCCUGUCCCCCCGGCACCUUCAGCAACAGCACUGGCCUCAGCAGACCUGAAGAGUGUGCCAGCUGUCCACCCGGGUAAUGCUACUCACACUCACUUCCUCCUCAUGCUGUGAUUAUUCAGAUGUCACCUUAUUUAUUUAAGAGGACCAUGUUAAAAAGAAACGUCUAUUCUUUGUGUGAAUAUUUUUCUCUCCCUGUCAGUUUCUAUUGUUUAGGUUCCAACAACACCUCACCUUCAGGUCCUUGUUUUCCUGGUUUCUACUGCACUGGUGGCUCAGCGUCACCUGUUCAGAAUGAAGCAGAGGAGGGUUAUUAUACCUUGGAGAGGGCAGCGAGGCCACAACCGUGUCCUCUUGGCACUUUUCAGCCACGUCAAGGUGCACAGUCAUGUGUGGAGUGUCAGGGAGGCAGACUGUGUAACCAGACAGGCUUGUCCCACCCACCACUGUGUCCCAGAGGACACUUCUGUCCUCCGGGGUCUUCUGUUGCUCGACCCUGUCCUCCAGUCAGUAUUUGUGUGUUAUUGUGUGUGUGUGUGUACUUUUGCACUAAAGCGUCAUGAAUUGGAUUUAACUCUCAUUCAAAUUCACAUAUUGUAAAAUGAUACCAUCUCAUUAUUCAGGGCUAUUACUCUGACCAGCCUGGCAGUGACGCUGUGCAGCACUGUCGGCCAUGCGAGGCUGGUUGGUUCUGCAGCCGAGCCGGUCUGUCUGACCCUCAGGGUCUCUGUGACCCGGGACACUACUGCACCUCUGGAGCCUCCACUGCCACUCCGGUAGGAUGUAAUGAAUAACAAUUUUGAUAGCUUGGCUUCCAGCAG
rnacentral:lncRNA from 1 species